UUGCCAAAGCAAUUGCAGCUGGACUGCUUACAAAUAGUACACAUAUGUAUUAACAGAAAGCAAAAGAAAGAUAACAAUAAUAAUAAUA